rnacentral:rRNA from 1 species
AUAUCAAUAAGCGGAGGAAAAGAAACCAACAGGGAUUGCCCCAGUAACGGCGAGUGAAGCGGCAACAGCUCAAAUUUGAAAUCUGGCCUCCCGGCCCGAGUUGUAAUUUGCAGAGGAUGCUUCUGGCGCGGCGCCUUCCAAGUCCCCUGGAACGGGGCGCCGGAGAGGGUGAGAGCCCCGUACUGUCGGACGCCAAGCCAGCGUGAAGCUCCUUCGACGAGUCGAGUAGUUUGGGAAUGCUGCUCAAAGCGGGAGGUAGACCCCUUCUAAAGCUAAAUACCGGCCAGAGACCGAUAGCGCACAAGUAGAGUGAUCGAAAGAUGAAAAGCACUUUGAAAAGAGGGUUAAACAGCACGUGAAAUUGUUGAAAGGGAAGCGCUCGUGACCAGACCUGCGCCGGGGCGAUCAUCUGGCGUUCUCGCCGGUGCACUCGCCCCGGCCCAGGCCAGCGUCGGUUCGCGCGGGGGGAGAAAGACGCCGGGAACGUGGCUCCUCCGGGAGUGUUAUAGCCCGGCGUGCCAUGCCCCCGCCGCGGACCGAGGUUCGCGCUCUGCAAGGACGCUGGCGUAAUGGUCAUCAGCGACCCGUCUUGAAACACGGACCAAGGAGUGAAGGUUCUGCGCGAGUGUCUGGGUGUCAAACCCGCACGCGUAAUGAAAGUGAACGCAGGUGGGAGCCUCGGCGCACCACCGACCGAUCCUGAUGUUCUCGGAUGGAUUUGAGUAGGAGCGUGGUGCCUUCGACCCGAAAGAUGGUGAACUAUGCUUGGAUAGGGUGAAGUCAGAGGAAACUCUGAUGGAGGCUCGCAGCGGUUCUGACGUGCAAAUCGAUCGUCAAAUCUGAGCAUGGGGGCGAAAGACUAAUCGAACCAUCUAGUAGCUGGUUACCGCCGAAGUUUCCCUCAGGAUAGCAGUGUUGUCUUCAGUUUUAUGAGGUAAAGCGAAUGAUUAGGGACUCGGGGGCGCCAUAUUGCCUUCAUCCAUUCUCAAACUUUAAAUAUGUAAGAAGCCCUUGUUACUUAGCUGAACGUGGGCACUCGAAUGCAUCAACACUAGUG